rnacentral:rRNA from 1 species
GUGACCCCAGGAUGGGCGAGGCCACCCGCCGAGUUUAAGCA